GAAUUGAUCUGACGGUCAAAUUAAAAAUUUCGAUUAAUCUAUACAAUUAUCUCAACAUUAAAUAAAUAACUGUGCUGCAGAAAUAUCAAUGAGAGCCAUAGGCCUGAUAAUCGAACGCCCGUCUAUAAAAGCAAUUUUGUAUCAAUAACCAGCGACAGGUACAAGAUUUAGUUUGGAUUAUGUGUUUUCUAGACAAUAGAUAUGUAUAUAAAAGCUUUUUGGAAUGACAUCGAUCUUUGGAUAUAAAAAAAUCCUGUAUACAAGAAAGUAUGUGUGCUGGAAUCGAAAUGAUUGUCAUCUAUAAAUUACUGUUAACCGUCUAAGGUUUUCAUAUAAAGCCCAUGAAAUGUAUUAUAGAUUGUAUAUAUGUUUAGUAUAUAUAACACAAAAUAUAAUAUGGAAACUUAUUGAUGUCCUUGAUUAUUAUUUACUUUCAAAGGGGAAAAAGGGUGUUAAAAUUUCUAAUCAAUUUUUUCCACACAGGUAACAAAGACUUUAUGCAAUCAAACCGCUGCGCUUAAUAUGAGUCUGAUGGGUGUCGAAAAUUUGACGUCAACCAUAGCCAUGGAAAAAGUGCACUCUAAUAGAACUAAGUGCAUUCAAACCUGUCAGCAGGCUCGAAAGCUUUUACCAGAUUUAGGUUUAACAGAGAUAGAUCAAGAUGAAAAUGACACAGAGCAACUCACUUUAGCGUUAACAAAAUUUGAAGAUAAUCUGGAAUACUUACUCAAAGAAUUUUCUAUUGUUGUUUGUUUAUCUACCGCCGUGCACAGAAUAGAGCAAAAUAGAGGUAAAUUAUCCGAAAAUACUUUGGAGAAAAAAUUUGAAGCUGAUGAAAAUCUAAGAGAUAUUCAGCAAUUAAAAGCCAAAGUACAAAGCGCCAAAACCGCUUUACAUUGUCGACAGAAACCAGAAAAUACAGAUUUUCAGAGCGAUGUGGAUGCACCUUACAGGAAGCGCAAUAUAGGAAAAUACGAGAGAAAUCACAUGUCUAGAUCAAGAAUAUUUUGCUGUAUGUGGAGGAGCGAUUACAUGUAACAACACCUUUUAGGAAAUAUAUACCAUAUAUAUAAAUAUAUACAGUGAAAUAAAUAGUAUAUAUAUAUAUAUACUAUAUAUACACAAAAAAUAUAAUAUUGAAAAAAAGCGAAAGGAAAGAAAAGUUCAGCUUUCUUAACUUGUUUUGAAUCUACCGAUUUUUCUUACUUUUAUACAAUCUUCUAAAGGCCCAUUGAAUAAUCUCCUGUAAUAUUCUUCUAAUUCUGUCUUACUUCUUAUAUAGCUAUUAUAUUUUCUAAAAGAAUGAAAGUCAGUUCGAGAAGUCCAUUUUCGAUUCUUCUUUAACUCUUCAUCAUUUUCUGAUAUACGUCUAUCGUUUCUUCUUUUCUCUAACAAAAUCCGUGCUCUGAAUAAUAGAUCAUCCUUUCUUCUUUCAAAAUGAGAUCGCCAUUCUUCAUAUUGCAGCCUCUGGUUGUCUAAUUUUAUUUUCUGUUCGUCUAGUGUAUCCUGUAAGUUUUCAACAGUCGAUAAAUCCGACUCGGAUUUAGAGAAUUCGUCCAUUAUCAAAGGAAAUUGUAUCUAAAAUAUUCUUAUUGAAAGAUAAUCCUUUUUU
rnacentral:misc_RNA from 1 species